UGAAAACAAGGACCCUGAAGUACAGAGAUUAUGUCUAGGAUCACAGUUAAAAAAUAUGUAAUAGCUGAAGCUUCAGAAGCCAUUCUGAAUCAUGAAGACAAAGCCACAGCCUACACAAGCUACAUCAGUCUCUGUGGCGGAUUUCUAUUGAUGAACUUGUUCGUUUCUGACUCAUGAAAACAACUCAGCCAGUUAUGAGAAAAGAAACUUCAGCUGAAAAUGAUGAAGAGCAUUCUCUGUAGGGAAUAAACAAUUUAAUUUGGUUUGUUUUGUUGCUAAUCUUAACUCAGAUGGUACCCAGUUGUA